ACAAGUUUCCCCAGAACUACAAGAUCUUUGAAAAAAAUAGCAAAGAAAAUAUGCCAUGUUACGCAAACUGUUUUACCUCAGACUCACCUUGAUUUUUAAAAAUAGGUUUUAUUCAUAAAUAUUUAAAAGAAUUUGUAUUGGUGAUUCUUAAUAUUGUUUUCAAUAGGUUCAAUUCCCAUGAAAGUGCAGCACAUGCAAUUGUUUCUGUUAAUGGUACUACCAUUGAAGGUCAUGUUGUGAAAUGCUAUUGGGGCAAAGAAACUCUUGAUAUGAUAAAUCCCGUGCAACAGCAGAAUCAAAUUGGAUAUCCCCAACCUUAUGGCCAGUGGGGCCAGUGGUAUGGAAAUGCACAACAAAUUGGCCAGUAUAUGCCUAAUGGUUGGCAAGUUCCUGCAUAUGGAAUGUAUGGCCAGGCAUGGAACCAGCAAGGAUUUAAUCAGACACAGUCUUCUGCACCAUGGAUGGGACCAAAUUAUGGAGUGCAACCACCUCAAGGGCAAAAUGGCAGCAUGUUGCCCAAUCAGCCUUCUGGG
rnacentral:sRNA from 1 species